GAGCUGUGCGGUUAGCACAGAGCAAAUUAUUCUUUCGCCUUUUACUUAAGAAUACCGUGUGCUCUCCACUUCAAUCGGCAUAUGCCUAUUUUUGGAAGGGUAUUCCUCGUUGAAUGCCC